rnacentral:rRNA from 1 species
UACGUAGGGGGCUAGCGUUGUCCGGAUUUAUUGGGCGUAAAGAGCGUGUAGGCGGCCAAGUAGGUCCGGUGUGAAAACUCGAGGCUUAACCUCGAGAUGUCAUCGGAAACCAUUUGGCUAGAGUCCGGAAGAGGAAAGUGGAAUUCCUGGUGUAGCGGUGAAAUGCGUAGAUAUCCGGAGGAACACCAGUGGCGAAAGCGGCCACCUGGACUGUACCUGACGCUGACACGCGAAAGCUAGGGGAGCGAACGGG